UAGGGAAUCUUCGGCAAUGGACGGAAGUCUGACCGAGCAACGCCGCGUGAGUGAAGAAGGUUUUCGGAUCGUAAAGCUCUGUUGUAAGAGAAGAACGAGUGUGAGAGUGGAAAGUUCACACUGUGACGGUAUCUUACCAGAAAGGGACGGCUAACUACGUGCCAGCAGCCGCGGUAAUACGUAGGUCCCGAGCGUUGUCCGGAUUUAUUGGGCGUAAAGCGAGCGCAGGCGGUUAGAUAAGUCUGAAGUUAAAGGCUGUGGCUUAACCAUAGUAGGCUUUGGAAACUGUUUAACUUGAGUGCAAGAGGGGAGAGUGGAAUUCCAUGUGUAGCGGUGAAAUGCGUAGAUAUAUGGAGGAACACCGGUGGCGAAAGCAGCUCUCUGGCUUGUAACUGACGCUGAGGCUCGAAAGCGUGGGGAGCAAACAGGAUUAGAUACCCUGGUAGUCCACGCUGUAAACGAUGAGUGCUAGGUGUUAGACCCUUUCCGGGGUUUAGUGCCGUAGCUAACGCAUUAAGCACUCCGCCUGGGGAGUACGACCGCAAGGUUG
rnacentral:rRNA from 1 species